ensembl:lncRNA
GGAAGAUGACACACGUUCCACUCCAACCUUUAAUGACAUUUUGCAGCCAAAGGCAACAAAGGAUAAAGGAUCACUGUGGGCAGCCCUGGAGCUGCUGGACCGAAGAUAAACAUGGAACCCAAAGCUUCACAGAGGACAGAAGAAAACCUCCAAGCCACCAGCACUUCCUCUGCAGCUUCCACAAAAGGAGGGCAGCCAAGGCAGGAGAAGUGGGGAGGCCGUUCUUCCUCCAGCCCAACCCCGAUGCGUGCUGAGCUUUUGGUUCUCCACACAACCACAGCGUGGCACGAAGCAUUACCAGCAUCUCAGACGUGGAAUGAGUUGGAGAGGACCUCAAUGACACCCACGUGCCAUCCCCAGCAGCAGGACACAGCAGCACCAGCUGCCUCCCCUGGGCCUCACCCCACUGAGCCCACUGGCAGCACAGCUUUGGCCCCUCGCUCAGCACAGCCCCAGCUCUGCAGAUCCCCCCAUGUAAGACA